GUGUGGCAUAGUGGUUUGAGUGUUAGACUACAAUUUUGGAGACCAGGGUUCGAAUCCCUGCUCAAACA